AAACCGUGGUGAGGACAAUCUCUCUGAUAUCCCUUGAAACGUUCCCAUGAAGAUCUGAAUGCUUCAAUUGGUCCUUGAAAAAAAGAAGAGAUCUUCGCUCUCAACUC
rfam:Arabis alpina cultivar Pajares scaff_74748_1_contig_5, whole genome shotgun sequence.